rnacentral:rRNA from 1 species
UACGUAGGGACCAAGCGUUGUUCGGAUUUACUGGGCGUAAAGGGCGCGUAGGCGGCGUGACAAGUCACUUGUGAAAUCUCUGAGCUUAACUCAGAACGGCCAAGUGAAACUGUUGUGCUAGAGUGCGGAAGGGGCAAUCGGAAUUCUUGGUGUAGCGGUGAAAUGCGUAGAUAUCAAGAGGAACACCUGAGGUGAAGACGGGUUGCUGGGCCGAUACUGACGCUGAGGAGCGAAAGCCAGGGGAGCAAACGGG